UACGUAGGAGGCAAGCGUUGUCCGGAAUUACUGGGUGUAAAGCGCGUGUAGGCGGCAGGCCAAGUCUGUGGUGAAAUCGCUCGGCUCAACUGGGCGGGGUCCAUGGAAACUGGUCAGCUGGAGGACGGUAGAGGUGAGUGGAAUUCCCGGUGUAGUGGUGAAAUGCGUAGAGAUCGGGAGGAACACCCGUGGCGAAGGCGGCUCACUGGGCCGGUCCUGACGCUGAGACGCGAAGGCGUGGGGAGGCGAACGGG
rnacentral:rRNA from 1 species